GAUGAACGCUGGCGGCGUGCCUAAUACAUGCAAGUCGAGCGAACAGAUGAGGAGCUUGCUCCUCUUACGUUACCGGCGGACGGGUGAGUAACACGUGGAUAACCUACCUAUAAGACUGGGAUAACUUCGGGAAACCGGAGCUAAUACCGGAUAAUAUAUGUAACCGCAUGGUUCAAUAGUGAAAGACGGUUUUGCUGUCGCUUAUAGAUGGCUCCGCGCCGCAUUAGCUAGUUGGUAAGGUAACGGCUUACCAAGGCAACGAUGCGUAGCCGACCUGAGAGGGUGAUCGGCCACACUGGAACUGAGACACGGUCCAGACUCCUACGGGAGGCAGCAGUAGGGAAGCUUCCGCAAUGGGCGAAAGCCUGACGGAGCAACGCCGCGUGAGUGAUGAAGGUCUUCGGAUCGUAAAACUCUGUUAUUAGGGAAGAACAAAUGUGUAAGUAACUAUGCACGUCUUGACGGUACCUAAUCAGAAAGCCACGGCUAACUACGUG
rnacentral:rRNA from 1 species